CCCAGGAGAAGCCUUUACUGUGGAGGUAAGCAGGAUGCUAAUGGGACGCUGUCACACACACGGACCGUGCCCCGUUGGUGUGUCGCCGUGGCAGGGGAACAACAGGAGAGAGCAUUGCCUUCCACCUGCAAUCCCUGCACUUCGGUGAGAACUAAAUUAAGUGGGUCAAAUGCCUGUCGUGUUUCUGUUCCUGUUUGUCUGCCUCAAUCGUGCAAACUUGUAGUUUUCUCUCAAUUUCUUCCCCUGGGCAAAAUAAUGCAAAUUAUGUUUUAUUCUUUGAAAAAAGGGGGAUCCCCCCUCAGAAAAGGGAGGUGCGAAAUAAGAUGCAAGUAGUGAUGUGUUUGUUCU
rnacentral:lncRNA from 1 species